GGUUAAGCGACUAAGCGUACACGGUGGAUGCCCUGGCAGUCAGAGGCGAUGAAGGACGUGCUAAUCUGCGAAAAGCGCCGGCGAGGUGAUAUGAACCCUUGACCCGGCGAUGUCCGAAUGGGGAAACCCAGUGUGUUCCGACACACUAUCGUUAACUGAAUACAUAGGUUAACGAGGCGAACCGGGGGAACUGAAACAUCUAAGUACCCCGAGGAAAAGAAAUCAACCGAGAUUCCCCCAGUAGCGGCGAGCGAACGGGGAGCAGCCCGGAGUCUGAAUCAGCUUGUGUGUUAGUGGAACGGUCUGGAAAGUCCGACGGUACAGGGUGAUAGUCCCGUACACGAAAAUGCACAUGCUGUGAACUCGAAGAGUAGGGCGGGACACGUGGUAUCCUGUCUGAAUAUGGGGGGACCAUCCUCCAAGGCUAAAUACUCCUGACUGACCGAUAGUGAACCAGUACCGUGAGGGAAAGGCGAAAAGAACCCCGGCGAGGGGAGUGAAAAAGAACCUGAAACCGUGUACGUACAAGCAGUGGGAGCACCUUCGGGUGUGACUGCGUACCUUUUGUAUAAUGGGUCAGCGACUUAUAUUCUGUAGCAAGGUUAACCGUAUAGGGGAGCCGAAGGGAAACCGAGUCUUAACUGGGCGUUAAGUUGCAGGGUAUAGACCCGAAACCCGGUGAUCUAGCCAUGGGCAGGUUGAAGGUUGGGUAACACUAACUGGAGGACCGAACCGACUAAUGUUGAAAAAUUAGCGGAUGACCUGUGGCUGGGGGUGAAAGGCCAAUCAAACCGGGAGAUAGCUGGUUCUCCCCGAAAGCUAUUUAGGUAGCGCCUCGUGAACUCAUCUUCGGGGGUAGAGCACUGUUUCGGCUAGGGGGCCAUCCCGGCUUACCAACCCGAUGCAAACUACGAAUACCGAAGAAUGUUAUCACGGGAGACACACGGCGGGUGCUAACGUCCGUCGUGAAGAGGGAAACAACCCAGACCGCCAGCUAAGGUCCCAAAGUCAUGGUUAAGUGGGAAACGAUGUGGGAAGGCACAGACAGCCAGGAUGUUGGCUUAGAAGCAGCCAUCAUUUAAAGAAAGCGUAAUAGCUCACUGGUCGAGUCGGCCUGCGCGGAAGAUGUAACGGGGCUAAACCAUGCACCGAAGCUGCGGCAGCGACGCUUAUGCGUUGUUGGGUAGGGGAGCGUUCUGUAAGCCGUUGAAGGUGUGCUGUGAGGCAUGCUGGAGGUAUCAGAAGUGCGAAUGCUGACAUAAGUAACGAUAAAGCGGGUGAAAAGCCCGCUCGCCGGAAGACCAAGGGUUCCUGUCCAACGUUAAUCGGGGCAGGGUGAGUCGACCCCUAAGGCGAGGCCGAAAGGCGUAGUCGAUGGGAAACAGGUUAAUAUUCCUGUACUUGGUGUUACUGCGAAGGGGGGACGGAGAAGGCUAUGUCAGCCGGGCGACGGUUGUCCCGGUUUAAGCAUGUAGGCGGAGGUUCCAGGUAAAUCCGGUACCUUAUUAACGCUGAGGUGUGAUGACGAGGCACUACGGUGCUGAAGUGAUAAAUGCCCUGCUUCCAGGAAAAGCCUCUAAGCAUCAGGUAACACGAAAUCGUACCCCAAACCGACACAGGUGGUCAGGUAGAGAAUACCAAGGCGCUUGAGAGAACUCGGGUGAAGGAACUAGGCAAAAUGGUGCCGUAACUUCGGGAGAAGGCACGCUGAUAUGUAGGUGAAGCCCCUGCGGGCGGAGCUGAAAUCAGUCGAAGAUACCAGCUGGCUGCAACUGUUUAUUAAAAACACAGCACUGUGCAAACACGAAAGUGGACGUAUACGGUGUGACGCCUGCCCGGUGCCGGAAGGUUAAUUGAUGGGGUUAGCGGCAACGCGAAGCUCUUGAUCGAAGCCCCGGUAAACGGCGGCCGUAACUAUAACGGUCCUAAGGUAGCGAAAUUCCUUGUCGGGUAAGUUCCGACCUGCACGAAUGGCGUAAUGAUGGCCAGGCUGUCUCCACCCGAGACUCAGUGAAAUUGAACUCGCUGUGAAGAUGCAGUGUACCCGCGGCAAGACGGAAAGACCCCGUGAACCUUUACUAUAGCUUGACACUGAACACUGGUCCUUGAUGUGUAGGAUAGGUGGGAGGCUUUGAAGCGUGGACGCCAGUCUGCGUGGAGCCAUCCUUGAAAUACCACCCUUUAAUGGCUGGUGUUCUAACGUAGACCCGUGAUCCGGGUUGCGGACAGUGUCUGGUGGGUAGUUUGACUGGGGCGGUCUCCUCCCAAAGAGUAACGGAGGAGCACGAAGGUUGGCUAAUCCUGGUCGGACAUCAGGAGGUUAGUGCAAUGGCAUAAGCCAGCUUGACUGCGAGCGUGACGGCGCGAGCAGGUGCGAAAGCAGGUCAUAGUGAUCCGGUGGUUCUGAAUGGAAGGGCCAUCGCUCAACGGAUAAAAGGUACUCCGGGGAUAACAGGCUGAUACCGCCCAAGAGUUCAUAUCGACGGCGGUGUUUGGCACCUCGAUGUCGGCUCAUCACAUCCUGGGGCUGAAGUAGGUCCCAAGGGUAUGGCUGUUCGCCAUUUAAAGUGGUACGCGAGCUGGGUUUAGAACGUCGUGAGACAGUUCGGUCCCUAUCUGCCGUGGGCGCUGGAGAAUUGAGGGGGGCUGCUCCUAGUACGAGAGGACCGGAGUGGACGCAUCACUGGUGUUCGGGUUGUCAUGCCAAUGGCACUGCCCGGUAGCUAAAUGCGGAAGAGAUAAGUGCUGAAAGCAUCUAAGCACGAAACUUGCCCCGAGAUGAGUUCUCCCUGAGAC
rnacentral:rRNA from 1 species